AGUCGUAACAAGGUUUCCGUAGGUGAACCUGCGGAAGGAUCAUUACCGAGUGAGGGCCCUCUGGGUCCAACCUCCCACCCGUGUCUAUCGUACCUUGUUGCUUCGGCGGGCCCGCCGUUUCGACGGCCGCCGGGGAGGCCUUGCGCCCCCGGGCCCGCGCCCGCCGAAGACCCCAACAUGAACGCUGUUCUGAAAGUAUGCAGUCUGAGUUGAUUAUCGUAAUCAGUUAAAACUUUCAACAACGGAUCUCUUGGUUCCGGCAUCGAUGAAGAACGCAGCGAAAUGCGAUAAGUAAUGUGAAUUGCAGAAUUCAGUGAAUCAUCGAGUCUUUGAACGCACAUUGCGCCCCCUGGUAUUCCGGGGGGCAUGCCUGUCCGAGCGUCAUUGCUGCCCUCAAGCACGGCUUGUGUGUUGGGCCCCCGUCCCCCUCUCCCGGGGGACGGGCCCGAAAGGCAGCGGCGGCACCGCGUCCGGUCCUCGAGCGUAUGGGGCUUUGUCACCUGCUCUGUAGGCCCGGCCGGCGCCAGCCGACACCCAACUUUAUUUUUCUAAGGUUGACCUCGGAUCAGGUAGGGAUACCCGCUGAACUUAAGCAUAUC
rnacentral:misc_RNA from 1 species